rnacentral:tRNA from 1 species
GUGGAGAUGGCCGAGUUGGUCUAAGGCGCCAGAUUAAGAUUCUGGUCCGAAAGGGCGUGGGUUCAAAUCCCACUCGCUACA